AAUUGGAACGCUUGGUUGAGUGCCACGGGGAAAACAUGAACGAGCUUGAGAAUGAACAAUUCGAUGUGGUUUUGUUCACGUAUCUCCUGUGCUCAGUUCAAGAUGGGAGGAAAGUUCUCGAGGAAGCAAAACGAGUACUUGUCAAGGGAGGCCAACUGAUUUUCUUGGAGCAUGUCGCUCAUCCAGAACGGACAUGGCCAAGGCUCUUUCAAAGCCUUAUAACUCCACUAUGGAAGAUCACUUGUGCUAACUGUCAUCUUGACAGGGAAUCCGCUAAGCUAAUAGAAAAUGCUGGAUUUUCUCAAGUCACCACCAAUUAUAUUUAUGCUGACAUGUGCAGUAUAUUGAGUUAUCAAGUUUAUGGUGUCGCUAUUCCGUAAGACAUCAGAAUAGACAUAAUUGAUAUCCUGUACAGCUCAAGAAGAAGCUUCACCUAAAGUCUCUGCGGUAACAGGGAAAUCAAUUGUGGUUUCUAAACUUGGAUUAAACAAUCUACUUGCUGCUAGAGAUGAACUGUUUGAUAUGACAAACUGCUUGAGAUGAAACAGACGCAAUUUUAUUGCGUGCGCUCAACUAACAAUUGAAUUCGCUCUCUUUAUUUAUUGUUUCUAAUGCACCUACCUAUGGGCCUUUAAAUUCAUAGAUUGGUGAAGUGAUAAUAGAUGUCUUGCCUAACGAAAUUUCUGACCCGAAAUUUUAUUUUAUUACAAUUUUUUCUCAUGAACAUUUAAAAAAUAAAGAGACUGAAAGCUUCA